rnacentral:rRNA from 1 species
GACGAACGCUGGCGGCGUGCUUAACACAUGCAAGUCGAACGGAAAGGCCCUGCUUUUGUGGGGUGCUCGAGUGGCGAACGGGUGAGUAACACGUGAGUAACCUGCCCUUGACUUUGGGAUAACUUCAGGAAACUGGGGCUAAUACCGGAUAGGAGCUCCUGCUGCAUGGUGGGGGUUGGAAAGUUUCGGCGGUUGGGGAUGGACUCGCGGCUUAUCCGCUUGUUGGUGGGGUAGUGGCUUACAAAGGCUUUGACGGGUAGCCGGCCUGAGAGGGUGACCGGCCACAUUGGGACUGAGAUACGGCCCAGACUCCUACGGGAGGCAGCAGUGGGGAAUAUUGCACAAUGGGCGGAAGCCUGAUGCAGCAACGCCGCGUGCGGGAUGACGGCCUUCGGGUUGUAAACCGCUUUCGCCUGUGACGAAGCGUGAGUGACGGUAAUGGGUAAAGAAGCACCGGCUAACUACGUG